UACGGGGGGAGCAAGCGUUGUUCGGAUUACUGGGCGUAAAGGGCGGGUAGGCGGCCACCGCAAGUCGACUGUGAAAUCUCCGGGCUUAACCCGGAAAGGUCAGCCGAUACUGCGGGCUAGAGUGCAGAAGGGGCAACUGGAAUUCUCGGUGUAGCGGUGAAAUGCGUAGAUAUCGAGAGGAACACCUGCGGCGAAGGCGGGUUGCUGGGCUGACACUGACGCUGAACUGCGAAAGCUAGGGAGCGAACGGG
rnacentral:rRNA from 1 species